CCCCGGGGAUGCCUUAGUACGGCGAGUGAGCGGCAAAAGCUCAAAUUUGAAAUCUGGUACCUUCGGUGCCCGAGUUGUAAUUUGGAGAGGGCAACUUUGGGGCCGUUCCUUGUCUAUGUUCCUUGGAACAGGACGUCAUAGAGGGUGAGAAUCCCGUGUGGCGAGGAGUGCGGUUCUUUGUAAAGUGCCUUCGAAGAGUCGAGUUGUUUGGGAAUGCAGCUCUAAGUGGGUGGUAAAUUCCAUCUAAAGCUAAAUAUUGGCGAGAGACCGAUAGCGAACAAGUACAGUGAUGGAAAGAUGAAAAGAACUUUGAAAAGAGAGUGAAAAAGUACGUGAAAUUGUUGAAAGGGAAGGGCAUUUGAUCAGACAUGGUGUUUUGUGCCCUCUGCUCCUUGUGGGUAGGGGAAUCUCGCAUUUCACUGGGCCAGCAUCAGUUUUGGUGGCAGGAUAAAUCCAUAGGAAUGUAGCUUGCCUCGGUAAGUAUUAUAGCCUGUGGGAAUACUGCCAGCUGGGACUGAGGACUGCGACGUAAGUCAAGGAUGCUGGCAUAAUGGUUAUAUGCCGCCCGUCUUGAACCCCGGGACCA
rnacentral:rRNA from 1 species